GCGGUAAUGCACCUAUAAGUUGUUUGCCAACCGCCAAUAAAAAAAGAGAAGAAGAAGAAGAAGAAGAAGAAGACCCACACAACGGCACAUGGUGGUGAAAAAGCCGUGCUCGCUAUUCCGAGGAGACCAGCUGUUCAACAGACUUCAUCUUCGCAGCAGAGGAAGGUCAGACCAAAAGUUGGGGAGUAACAAGAGGAGGGUGGAAACCCAGAUGAUGAUGAUCUUCUGGAAUGACUGGCUGAUGGAGGCGGAUGGCUGCUGCUCUUUCGCCAAAAUAAAAUACCAAAUGCUGCGCACUAUUUUGGGAAUUCUCAAAUGAUUGGCUCAGGAACCAGGAAGGAGCAGAGAGCAUACAGAGGAGUUGAUAAAAUUCCGUGGGCAGAAUGAACACCUCUUUACCGGGGCCAAAAAUACUGCCACAGUCGGAUGGAGAACAAUCCUGCAAAAAACGGGCCUGGAGGAUGAAGAAUGCAAAGAUCCAGGGACAGGGCAGGGGGUCAGUGGGAAGCCUACUGCUGCCACCUGGCCAUGGUUUAUCCUCAGGUUCUGUGUUGCUGUUAUUGUUGAAUUAAAUUAUUAAAUUGUUUAUAAAAGU